rnacentral:piRNA from 1 species
UAGUUCCAGAGUGGGGUGUCUGUA